UGCGCAGGCGGUUUUGUAAGACAGGCGUGAAAUCCCCGGGCUUAACCUGGGAACUGCGUUUGUGACUGCAAGGCUAGAGUGUGGCAGAGGGGGGUAGAAUUCCACGUGUAGCAGUGAAAUGCGUAGAUAUGUGGAGGAAUACCGAUGGCGAAGGCAGCCCCCUGGGUCAACACUGACGCUCAUGCACGAAAGCGUGGGGAGCAAACAGGAUUAGAUACCCUGGUAGUCCACGCCCUAAACGAUGUCAACUAGGUGUUGGGGGAGGAGACUUCCUUAGUACCGCAGCUAACGCGUGAAGUUGACCGCCUGGGGAGUACGGCCGCAAGGUUGAA
rnacentral:rRNA from 1 species